rnacentral:tRNA from 1 species
AGCGGGAAUAGCUCAGUUGGGAGAGCGUCAGACCUAAGAUCUGAAGGUCACGUGAUCGAUCCACGUUCGCCU